GACGAACGCUGGCGGCGUGCUUAACACAUGCAAGUCGAACGAUGAACCCGGAGCUUGCUCUGGGGGAUUAGUGGCGAACGGGUGAGUAACACGUGAGUAACCUGCCCUGGACUCUGGGAUAACCGUUGGAAACUACGUCUAAUACCGGAUAGGACCUUGUAUCGCAUGAUGGGGGGUGGAAAGUUUCGUCGGUCGGGGAUGGACUCGCGGCCUAUCAGCUUGUUGGUGGGGUAGUGGCUUACCAAGGCUUCGACGGGUAGCCGGCCUGAGAGGGUGACCGGCCACACAGGGUGGGACACACGGACCAGCCAGACUCGGACGGGAGCAGUGGGGAAGAUUGAUUGCUGGACGAGCGCCAGCCGCAGCAACGCCGCGUGCGGGAUGAAGGACGGCCUUUUGUUUAUCAACUUCAGUCGGCAAUAAGGGAUUCGGAUUGACGGUACCUGGAGAAGAAGGACCGGCUAACUACGUG
rnacentral:rRNA from 1 species